rnacentral:rRNA from 1 species
CCGGCGAUGUCCGAAUGGGGAAACCCAGUGCAAUUCGUUGCACUAUCGUUAACUGAAUACAUAGGUUAACGAGGCGAACCGGGGGAACUGAAACAUCUAAGUACCCCGAGGAAAAGAAAUCAACCGAGAUUCCCCCAGUAGCGGCGAGCGAACGGGGAGCAGCCCAGAGUCUGAAUCAGCUUGUGUGUUAGUGGAACGGUCUGGAAAGUCCGACGGUACAGGGUGAUAGUCCCGUACACCAAAAUGCACAGGCUGUGAACUCGAAGAGUAGGGCGGGACACGUGGUAUCCUGUCUGAAUAUGGGGGGACCAUCCUCCAAGGCUAAAUACUCCUGACUGACCGAUAGUGAACCAGUACCGUGAGGGAAAGGCGAAAAGAACCCCGGCGAGGGGAGUGAAAAAGAACCUGAAACCGUGUACGUACAAGCAGUGGGAGCACCUUCGGGUGUGACUGCGUACCUUUUGUAUAAUGGGUCAGCGACUUAUAUUCUGUAGCAAGGUUAACCGUAUAGGGGAGCCGCAGGGAAACCGAGUCUUAACUGGGCGUUAAGUUGCAGGGUAUAGACCCGAAACCCGGUGAUCUAGCCAUGGGCAGGUUGAAGGUUGGGUAACACUAACUGGAGGACCGAACCGACUAAUGUUGAAAAAUUAGCGGAUGACUUGUGGCUGGGGGUGAAAGGCCAAUCAAACCGGGAGAUAGCUGGUUCUCCCCGAAAGCUAUUUAGGUAGCGCCUCGUGAACUCAUCUUCGGGGGUAGAGCACUGUUUCGGCUAGGGGGUCAUCCCGACUUACCAACCCGAUGCAAACUACGAAUACCGAAGAAUGUUAUCACGGGAGACACACGGCGGGUGCUAACGUCCGUCGUGAAGAGGGAAACAACCCAGACCGCCAGCUAAGGUCCCAAAGUCAUGGUUAAGUGGGAAACGAUGUGGGAAGGCACAGACAGCCAGGAUGUUGGCUUAGAAGCAGCCAUCAUUUAAAGAAAGCGUAAUAGCUCACUGGUCGAGUCGGCCUGCGCGGAAGAUGUAACGGGGCUAAACCAUGCACCGAAGCUGCGGCAGCGACACUAUGUGUUGUUGGGUAGGGGAGCGUUCUGUAAGCCUGCGAAGGUGUGCUGUGAGGCAUGCUGGAGGUAUCAGAAGUGCGAAUGCUGACAUAAGUAACGAUAAAGCGGGUGAAAAGCCCGCUCGCCGGAAGACCAAGGGUUCCUGUCCAACGUUAAUCGGGGCAGGGUGAGUCGACCCCUAAGGCGAGGCCGAAAGGCGUAGUCGAUGGGAAACAGGUUAAUAUUCCUGUACUUGGUGUUACUGCGAAGGGGGGACGGAGAAGGCUAUGUUAGCCGGGCGACGGUUGUCCCGGUUUAAGCAUGUAGGCUGGUU